UGACCUCACAACGACUCAAGCUACCACUUAUUGUUGAUUGUGAUGAAAUGCCAGCUGAGGCACACACCUUGGGAGCUAAGUGGUUGCUGCACUUGACUACUAUGAAGACUGGUGUGGGAAGGGUCGCUUUGGAUGCACUUGAGCAGGGGUCCCCAACCCCUGAGCCAUGGAGCCGUAAGGAGCCACACAGCAGGUGAGUGGUGUCGAGUGAGGGAGUGAGGGAAGCUUCGUCUGUAUUUACAGCCACUCCCCUUUGCUCACAUUCCCGCCUGAGCUCCACCUUCUCAGAUGAGCAGCAGCAUUAGAUUCUCAUAGGAGAACGCACCCUGUUGUGAACCGUGCAUGUGAGGGAUCUAGGUUGCGCUGUUCUUAUGAGAAUCUAAUACCUAUUGAUCUGUCACUUUCUCCCAUCACGCUCAGGUGGGACCAUCCAGUUUCAGGAAAACAAGCUUAACACGCCCACUGAUUCUACAUUAUGCUCCUACCUCCCGGCAGCCUCGCCAGGCCCAGAACUCUCUCCAGUCAGCCUCUACAGACCAAGCUCAUGACUCACAAUGGCCUAUUUAGGCCCAUACCCUACCUCACGGCAGUCUCCGCAGAUGAGCCUACUGCCUCACAACAGCCUCCACAGGCACAGCUCCAUCGUUCCAAUGGCCUCUUUAGACCCAGCUCCUGCCGCCCAGCCUUCUCUCCAGGCCCUGAACUUUCUCCGUGGGACCAUCCAGUUUCAGGAAAACAAGCUUAACACGCCCACUGAUUCUACAUUAUGCUCCUACCUCCCGGCAGCCUCGCCAGGCCCAGAACUCUCUCCAGUCAGCCUCUACAGACCAAGCUCAUGACUCACAAUGGCCUAUUUAGGCCCAUACCCUACCUCACGGCAGUCUCCGCAGAUGAGCCUACUGCCUCACAACAGCCUCCACAGGCACAGCUCCAUCGUUCCAAUGGCCUCUUUAGACCCAGCUCCUGCCGCCCAGCCUUGUCUCCAGGCCCUGAACUUUCUCCGUGGGACCAUCCAGUUUCAGGAAAACAAGCUUAACACGCCCACUGAUUCUACAUUAUGCUCCUACCUCCCGGCAGCCUCGCCAGGCCCAGAACUCUCUCCAGUCAGCCUCUACAGACCAAGCUCAUGACUCACAAUGGCCUAUUUAGGCCCAUACCCUACCUCACGGCAGUCUCCGCAGAUGAGCCUACUGCCUCACAACAGCCUCCACAGGCACAGCUCCAUCGUUCCAAUGGCCUCUUUAGACCCAGCUCCUGCCUCCCAGCCUUGUCUCCAGGCCCUGAACUUUCUCCGGUCUCCCUCUGUUGUCCAAGGCUGGAGGGUAGUAGUGCUAUCGCAGCUGACUGCAGCCUCAACCUUCCAGGCUGAAGCGAUCCUCCCAUCUCAACCUCCCACGUGGCUGAGACUACAGGUGCUUGCCACUACGCCCAACUAAUAUUUGGUUUUUUCAUAUACGUGGAUUCCAGAGGGGUGACAGCGAAACGUGGGACCAUCCAGUUUCAGGAAAACAAGCUUAACACGCCCACUGAUUCUACAUUAUGCUCCUACCUCCCGGCAGCCUCGCCAGGCCCAGAACUCUCUCCAGUCAGCCUCUACAGACCAAGCUCAUGACUCACAAUGGCCUAUUUAGGCCCAUACCCUACCUCACGGCAGUCUCCGCAGAUGAGCCUACUGCCUCACAACAGCCCCACAGGCACAGCUCCAUCGUUCCAAUGGCCUCUUUAGACCCAGCUCCUGCCUCCCAGCCUUGUCUCCAGGCCCUGAACUUUCUCCGAAUCCAUUCGGGAUACCACACUGUGUUUACGUGCCAUUCCUCUUUAGGUGUCUCCUGGCUGGGGCAGCUUCUCGGACCUCCCUUGUUUUAAAGGCCUUGAUGGUUUUCAGAAGUUGCGGCCAGAUAGUCUCUGGAAUGUCCCUCCUGUGGAACUUGUCUGGUGUUUUCUCACAAUGCACCAGGUUAUGGGUUGUUGGGAAGAUCACAGAGGUAAAGAACCCUUCUCGUCACAGCAUACCAGGAACACGCACCACCAGUGGGACUUACACUCUGGAUGUUGACCUGAUCACUUGGCUAGGGUGGUGUUUGCCAGUUUCUCCACUAUAAAGUUAUGUAUUUUUACUUCCUUGCAGCCUAUACUCUUUGGAAGGGAGGAACUAUGAGCAGCACAACUUAGGGAAUAAGAAAUGAGGCUAGUAAUACACAGAGCACCCACUAAAGUAAUUAAUCAAGAGCAGAGAUUCUACAAACUUUUUUAAUUUUUAAU